AGAUUUUCAUAAUUUUCUGACACUGAAUUUUUUGCUAAAAUAUCAGCCCCGUUUCUCACAGAAAAUUUUAAAUCUUCUGUUUCUGUUCCGAUUUCAGCACAAGUCGUUUCCGACUUAUGUUUUACUUCUUUAAGUCCAAUAAAAAUAGUAUCCCACACUAUUUUUAUUUAUAUUUAUUUUUAAAUUAAAAUUCGGUACAUUACAUUCUACACCCCUUAAAAAGAGUUUCGUCUGCGAAACUCAAACCACGCCUCAAUUUAGCUCCUCGAGCAAU
rnacentral:lncRNA from 1 species